rnacentral:lncRNA from 1 species
AAAGAACAAAGCUGGAGGCAUCACACUACCUGACUUCAAACUAUACUACAAAGCUACAGUAACCACAAUCUUCAAUCUCAGUGGUUAAUGACCAACUGUUGGCAAAUGUUUUCUGUAAAUUUUAAAGAAGUUUUCUUUUUUUCUCCUCCGGCUUUGAAUUUGAAAUCUUUCAAACACAUAUAACAUUUGAAAGACUGUUAUGUAGUUUCACCAAUUUCUCUUGUGGAAUUUCUCUUCUAAUUCAGGUAUACUCUUUGGAGAUGGCUCAUUCCAGAGCAGGAGGGAUAGAAAGUAAGCCUGCAUUUUUUUUACUUGCCAGAAAGUAAGGAAAUGCUCAAAGACAAAUGGACACAUGUCAAAAGGGCAGAGAGCACAUGCAGGAGAUUGAUUGGAGAGUACUUUUCAUAAGAUCACCUGUAAGGGAGCGAGCAAAGCAGCACUGGCAGAGGAAGUUGAGUUGUGAUGCAGUUCAUCUUGUGCACAUGGAGAGUUCUGGACCUAGGAUGACCCUUCAGAGUGUUCUGAAUUGGGUCAAUUGAGCUGGGCCCUUAUACCCAACAUGGACCAGUCAUUUGAAGUGGGCUUCCCCUAGAGAGGGGACAUACCCUUGGGUGAGGAAGCUCCUUUCAUAGAAGGCAAUUCCUGGAGAGAUGCCAGUUGUGAGCUCCCACAUGCAACAUUCUUACAGCUGGGGAAGAGUGCAUUGGUACUAAAGUAAGUCCUGGACAGUACACCCGAGCAAUCCCUACCAUCGUUCACUAGCUUCAUAGAAUAUAUUCACCCCAUCUGGGAACAGAAGCUCUAGUAUUCUGAUUGGUCUCUUUUUCUGGAAAUACAGAGGAGAGUAUAACCUCAUCCUGGAGCAGGGCACCCUAUCGUCAGAUGGUAUCAUCUUUAAGGGGUUGUCUCAGCCAUGCCUUUAGAAUUACCUUUCAUUGCUUGUCAUGCUGGAAGCUUCUGAAUGUUGCAUUUUGUGAUAGAAACAGUGGGUACCAUGGUCAUGUGCUCACAUCUCCUUUGCGGUAAAGAAAAGGAUCACUCAUUAACAUCCACCAGAUAACAUUCUCCAUGAAAGCACCAAAUAAGGUUUGUCUUGGUCCAUUUUAUGCUGCUAUAACAGAACAC